rnacentral:siRNA from 1 species
CGUCCCGCCAAACAUGUCCCG